UACGUAGGGUCCGAGCGUUGUCCGGAAUUACUGGGCGUAAAGCGCGCGCAGGCGGCCCGCGAGGUGUCACGUGAAAGGCCCGGGCUCAACCCGGGAGGGUCGUGGCAAACCGGCGGGCUUGAGGCCGGUAGAGGUGGGUGGAACUCCUGGUGGAGUGGUGAAAUGCGUAGAGAUCAGGAAGAACACCCGUGGCGAAGGCGGCCCACUGGGCCGGUGCUGACGCUGAGGCGCGAAGGCGUGGGGAGCGAACGGG
rnacentral:rRNA from 1 species